UACAGAGGUCUCAAGCGUUGUUCGGAUUCAUUGGGCGUAAAGGGUGCGUAGGCGGCGCGGUAAGUCGGGUGUGAAAUCUCGGAGCUUAACUCCGAAACUGCAUUCGAUACUGCCGCGCUUGAGGACUGGAGAGGAGACUGGAAUUUACGGUGUAGCGGUGAAAUGCGUAGAUAUCGAGAGGAACACCUGCGGCGAAGGCGGGUUGCUGGGCUGACACUGACGCUGAUGCGCGAAAGCCAGGGGAGCGAACGGG
rnacentral:rRNA from 1 species